rnacentral:rRNA from 1 species
GAUGGCCUUGCGGUGCAUUAGCUAGUUGGUGGGGUAACGGCCCACCAAGGCGACGAUGCAUAGCCGACCUGAGAGGGUGAUCGGCCACACUGGGACUGAGACACGGCCCAGACUCCUACGGGAGGCAGCAGUAGGGAAUCUUCCACAAUGGACGAAAGUCUGAUGGAGCAACGCCGCGCGAGUGAUGAAGGUUUUCGGAUCGUAAAACUCUGUUGUAAGGGAAGAACACGUACGAGAGGAAAUGCUCGUACCUUGACGGUACCUUACGAGAAAGCCACGGCUAACUACGUGCCAGCAGCCGCGGUAAUACGUAGGUGGCAAGCGUUGUCCGGAAUUAUUGGGCGUAAAGCGCGCGCAGGCGGCCUUUUAAGUCUGAUGUGAAAGCCCCCGGCUCAACCGGGGAGGGCCAUUGGAAACUGGAAGGCUUGAGUACAGAAGAGAAGAGUGGAAUUCCACGUGUAGCGGUGAAAUGCGUAGAGAUGUGGAGGAACACCAGUGGCGAAGGCGACUCUUUGGUCUGUAACUGACGCUGAGGCGCGAAAGCGUGGGGAGCAAACAGGAUUAGAU